UAACGUUUACGUAGGAGGACCAGCGGAGGGAUCAUU
rnacentral:rRNA from 1 species